AACGAACGCUGGCGGCAGGCCUAACACAUGCAAGUCGAACGGGACCUUCGGGUCUAGUGGCGGACGGGUGAGUAACGCGUGGGAACGUGCCCUUUGGUUCGGAAUAGCCUCGGGAAACUGGGAGUAAUACCGGAUACGGUCGGAAGACGAAAGAUUUAUCGCCCAAGGAUGAGCCCGCGUAGGAUUAGCUAGUUGGUGAGGUAAAGGCUCACCAAGGCGACGAUCCUUAGCUGGUCUGAGAGGAUGAUCAGCCACACUGGGACUGAGACACGGCCCAGACUCCUACGGGAGGCAGCAGUGGGGAAUAUUGGACAAUGGGCGAAAGCCUGAUCCAGCAAUGCCGCGUGAGUGAUGAAGGCCUUAGGGUUGUAAAGCUCUUUUACCCGGGAUGAUAAUGACAGUACCGGGAGAAUAAGCUCCGGCUAACUCCGUGCCAGCAGCCGCGGU
rnacentral:rRNA from 1 species